UAGGCCAAAACUGGCCAUUCCCCAUUUGCUCCAUUUCCUCUAUUUUAAUAUAAAAUGAAAGCCUAAGAAACUCUCCCCCUCCCUCUAAUUUUCUUCCGCCGCCAAGAGAAAAGAAAGAAAGCUCUGACCGUCGUAGAUCGACGGUGAAGGGAGCCUUCGACGGUGGCUCAUGAGGCAGGGAAGCCAGAACGUUCGCACAUGUGUGGCACGCUCCAGUCAGGCAGCGAUCUUUACUGGGUUGCGGCGGUGGCUGUUGAUCUAUUAAGGUUGAAUACCAGCUGAGUAAGGAGAUCAUCAGAUAUCUAGUCAGAGUCGCGUAAUCAGUUACAGUAUGACAUACCUGUAUACUUUUGAUAUAUUUUAGUUGGCAUUUAAUAGGUUUAGUAAAAAUAUUUUGUAUUAUCCAGGGAAGGCUAAUGUUGUAGCUGAUGCUCUUAACUGAAAGACUUUUAUAGCUUUACGUA